rnacentral:lncRNA from 1 species
GAGGCUCCAGGGAGUCCCAGCUUUCAAAAUCAAUCUGGUACGUUUUGGUUGCGCAUCCUUUCUGUUUCACUGUAGCAUGUUUCGUAAAUCAGAUAUAUUGCUUUUAGAUUAUAUUUAUUCUGGCCUGCCUCUUUUCCUAUUCCUAAUUUUCUCUGACUUGCUUUUGAAUUGGAUUGUCUUGAAAAUAUUUGGAAUGAUUA